CCACCACGGAACAUUCCCCUAAAUUUCUCAUUAGGUUUCCAGUUAGUGUAUAUACACAAUGAACAAGCCGUGUUUUCCCAUUAAACCAAAAAAGGUUAUUUGAAAGUUCCCACAAUAUUGGUACAUUUUUGUAAUUCAGCAGACGCUCUUAACCAAAGUGAAUUACAAGAGCAAAUAAGGUUAAGUUCCUUGCACAAUCGACUUCGACAUCAUUUUCACAUUCUUUGCUCAGGAAUUCAAACUAGUUACCUGUCGGUUACUUGUCCAACUCACUUAACCGUUAGGCUACCUGCAUGUACAAAACAUUUGCCUGAUGUUGAAAAAAUGUUCCCACAACACAUUUCUCUGUCAUUAAAGGUUCCCAGAAUGUUUAAUUAGCUUGUGGGAAACGUCUGGUGGAUAAAUUGUGGGGACAUCACAAAAUAUAUGUUCCUGAAACACAAAAUACUGUCCAGUUGUGCGGAUGAUUAUACAACGUUUAUUUUAGGGUGCAAAACAUUUUCACCUGAUGUGUAACGAUGGUUGUGAUGGGUAGACCAAGGUGCAGCGUGAGUUGGGUUCAUCAUAAUUUUAUUUAAGGUGAACCAGAAAAAAACAAUAAACAACACAACUAACAAAAAGUAUUGCGGGCUUCUAACAGCUAUACAAAAACAAGAUCCCACAACUGAAGGUGGGAAAAAGGGCUGCCUAAGUAUGAUUCCCAAUCAGAGACAAUGAUAGACAGCUGCCUCUGAUUAGGAACCAUACUCGGCCAAACACAAAGAAAAUAGAAAACAUAGAAUAGGACAUAGAAAUACAAAAUCUAGAAUGCCCACCCAAAUCACACCAAAAUAGAGAAAUAAAUGGGCUCUCUAUGGUCAGGGCGUGACAUGAUGUUACAAGAACGUUCCCAGAACACAUUUCCACUGUUUCCAGAAUAUUUCAUUAGGUUGUGGGAACAGUAAUGCUGUCAGAUAAUGUUUGUAUCAGGGUGCAAAAAACAUUAUUAUAAUUUUGCAAGGAUGUUGGCAGAAUAGUUUUUUUUAGUUAAAGGUUUAUAGAACAAUGUAUUAUGUAGUGGGGACAGUGUGGGUACAUUACUAGAGAUAGAUAAUCUUGCAACAUCAGGUGAAUGUUUUUUGCACCCUGAAAGAAACAUUGCAGAAUCAUCUGCACAACUGAACAGUUGUUUGUGUUUUGGGAAUGAAUCUUUUGUGAUGUCCCCCACAAUGUUCUUACCAGACUGUUCCCACAUCUUAAUGAAACAUUUUGGGAACCUUUAAAUAAUAGAUUAAAUAUGUUCUGGAAUGUUCUUGCAACAUCAGGCAACGGAACAGUUUUUGUGUUAUGAGAACAUUUGCUCUAACCUAAAGAAUGUUCUGGGAACUUUCACAGAAACCAAUUUUGGUUUGCUGGGCAGUCUCCAAGUCAAACACUCUCCGCUCUCCAUCGUGUCCACUUCUUGACCCUGACACACACACCACUCUGUAAGAUCACAAAGCACUCAUUCCACUCCACUCUCCACUCCACUCCCAGGCUGAGUCCCAAUUGGCACCUUAUCCCUACAUAGUGCACUACUUUUAACCACGGCCCUAUGGGGCCUGAUCAAAAGAAGUGCACUAUAUAGGGAAAAAUGUACUGUAAUGAACUAUUAGUGACCCAUUUCAGCGUAAUGGUUUCGCUGUAGUAUUGCCAAAGCGUUGGAGGCUCCCCAGCUGAUAGGAUCCCCAGCCCGGUGCACUUUGCUGACAGAGACAGGCUUUGAAUGCCUGAUCAAAGAGGUGGUGGCUUUGCUGAGAAUGCUGUUUGCUUUGGUUGACAAGGAGGCAUGGAGGACUGCGAAGAGAGAGAAAGAGAGGGGGAGGAGGGAAGGAGAAAGAGCAAGUGAGAGACUACACAUACAGUACCUCGUCCUAAACAUCAGCGCCACAGGUAACUUCCACAUACAGUGGGGGGGAAAAGUAUUUGAUCCCCUGCUGAUUUUGUAUGUUUGCCCACUGAUAAAGAAAGGAUCAGUCUAUAAUUUUAAUGGUAGGUUUAUUUGAUCAGUGAGAGACAGAAUAACAACAAAAAUAUCCAGAAAAAUGUAUGUCAAAAAUGUUAGAAAUUGAUUUGCAUUUUAAUGAGGGAAAUAAGUAUUUGACCCCUCUGCAAAACAUGACUUAGUACUUGGUGGCAAAACCCUUGUUGGCAAUCACAGAGGUCAGACGUUUCUUGAAAUUUGGCCACCAGGUUUGCACCCAUCUCAGGAGGGAUUUUGUCCCACUCCUCUGUGCAGAUCUUCUCCAAGUCAUUAAGUUUUCGAGGCUUACGUUUGGCAACUCGAACCUUCAGCUCCCUCCACAGAUUUUCUAUGGGAUAAAGGUCUGGAGACUGGCUAGGCCAUUCGAGGACCUUAAUGUGCUUCUUCUUGAGCCACUCCUUUGUUGCCUUGGCCGUGUGUUUUGGGUCAUUGUCAUGCUGGAAUACCCAUCUACGACCCAUUUUUAAUGCCCUGGCUGAGGGAAGGAUGUUCUUACCCAAGAUUUGACGGUACAUGGCCCUGUCCAUCGUCCCUUUGAUGCGGUGAAGUUGUCCUGUCCCCUUAGCAGAAAAACACCCCCAAAGCAUAAUGUUUCCACCUCCAUGUUUGACGGUGGAGAUGGUUUUCUUGGGGUCAUAGGCAGCAUUGCUCCUCCUCCAAACACGGCGAGUUGAGUUGAUGCCAAAGAGCUCCAUUUUGGUCUCAUCUGACCACAACACUUUCACCAGUUAUCCUCUGAAUCAUUCAGAUGUUCAUUGGCAAACUUCAGACGGGCAUGUAUAUGUAUUCUUGAGCAGGGGGACCUUGCGGGCACUGCAGGAUUUCAGUCCUUCACGUCGUAGUGUGUUACCAAUUGUUUUGUUGGUGACUAUGGUCCCAGCUGCCUUGAGAUCAUUGACAAGAUCCUCCCGUGUAGUUCUGGGCUGAUUCCUCACCGUUCUCAUGAUCAUUGCAACUCCACGAGGUGAGAUCUUGCAUGGAGCCCUAGGCCGAGGGAUAUUGACAGUUCUUUUGUGUUUCUUCCAUUUGCGAAUAAUCGCACCAAAUGUUGUCACCUUCUCACCAAGCUGCUUGGCGAUGGUCUUGUAACAAUUUUGCACAAAGUUACAACACAUAUAGAAAUAAUAAGACAUUUGAAAUGUCUUUAUUCUUUUUCAACUGCUGUGAAUGUAAUGUUUAUUUUUAUUGUUGAUUUCACUUUAGUUUAUUAUCUACUUCACUUGCUUUGACAAUGUUAACAUAUGUUUCCCAAGCCAAUAAAGCCCUUUCAAUUGAAUUGAAUUGACAGACAGAGAGAGAGAGAGCAUGAGAGAGAGAGCAUGAGAGAGAGAGCAUGAGAGAGUGACGUGCAGUACCACUAAGGGAAUGUGAGACCCAUUCAGACAUAAUAAAAGCAUACAUAAUGUCUGUCCACACCUUGCUGUUGUUGGUGCAUUUCAACCUUCUUAGAGAGAUGAAGGGAACAACUUAGAAUUGUCUGAAAAAAACUAAUCAUAAAAUUAAGCAUUGAACAAAGUUUUUUAAAUGUAAUUUACAAUUCCAUCAGCUUAAAUGGCACAAAAACUCCCAGCAGCACAGCGGGUGAUAAUGUAAUGGAGGGCUAUUACAGGAGAGAACACUCUCAGAAGCUUUUCUGCAAAGGUCUCCUGUAGUACCUCAACUAGCCUGAGGUCUGAGGGGACAGCACUGCUGGAGCAGAACCUGUGGGCAAGUUAGUCUAACAACAUUAUGUAGAGCAGUGGUGUCACGCCCUGACCAGGUGAACUCGGGUAUAUUGGGUCAGGGUGUGUCAUGUUAGGUAUUUUUCAUUGGUUUGUGUUUGGUUUACGUUUUAGCCUUGUGUAGGCUCUAGGUGGGUUAUUUCUAUGUUGGGUUCUGUCGAUUCCCAAUCAGAGACAGCUGUCGCUAAUUGUCUCUGAUUGGGAUCACAUUUAAGUUGCUGUUUUCCCCACGCUGUUUGAGGGGUGUUGUGUCUUUGUUUGAGCACGUAACGUAUCUGCAUUUUUCUUGAUUUUUGUGUACAUGUUUAAUUCCAGUGUGUUGAAUAAACAUGUGUUCGCUCCCAGCUGCGUUUUGGUCCGCUUCCUCUUCACCAGGCGACGAACGUUACAAGUGGUCACCAACCGGUUGGCAUUCCUAGUCGAUCACCAAACAUUUCUGUAAAAUAAAACAAAGAUAAAGCCUUGCGUUCCUAUCUUUUUUUUAUUUGUUUGACGCUGUUGUUGGUAGGUGCCCAUUUUGAACCAUUUCAUGUGUCUGAAGCUAGAACUCCGCCUACACGACAGGCCUAGACAUUAAAUCAAGAGUGCCUAUAGGCCUAUCGCUGGCCAAUCACAUAGCGCAGGUCACCAUGUCUGCAAAGUUUCCUCGAGCCAUAGAAUGUAAAAAGAAACCUGGAACGUACAGCAGAGUUGAUUUUAAAAAACAUAACUAGAGAGAAAGACUAAACGAACACAGCAAAGAGCUGCAGUUAUUAUCAGCAACUUCAUGUUUCAGUUGUUAUUCAGUACUGUCAACACUUUAAGCCAUGAAAUGUGGGUUCUCCCUACUUCCACCCACGCUACAACCAGCACUGCAGCUGAAUUGAAGGAGUACAGCAAAGUGUUUCGAUAAGCUAGCGUUGGUAUUAUUAGCGGCUUGUGGCUUUUUUAAUAUCAAAAAAUAUUCCACUUUCUCUGGUCAUAGGAGUAUUAAUUGGUACUAUGUGAAACAGAUAUAAUGCAGUGCGACUUGACUUUUGCCAUCAGUCCAGUAAAAAAAGAAGACAUUAUGCUCACUCAGCUGUUCCUCACAUGUAAAACAACAAAUGAUCUACUACCGGUGUCAUCAUGUACCUACAUUUUUUUAAAUAUCAUUUCAAAACGGUCUGAGAAGAUCAAUAUUGGCAAGGCAAUUCAAGCAUAGCCAAUAUGCAAUGAAAUUGUAUUGGGCCUAUAAUGAAAUGCACAAACCUCAUUGCUACAGAGCUGUUUUUAAUUGGUUAAUGUUGCAUAGGCUUAUGUUUUAAGUAAUGUUUUAAAACAAAUUAGUGGUAGAUCUCAGAAUGCAUUUUGACUAGGAAAGUGAUCUUGACUCAGAAAAGGUUGGUGACCACUGAUGUAGAGAGACUUACUGAGAGCAAGAAAGAGAGAAAGAAAGAGAGAAAGAGAGAAAGAAAGAGAGAGAGAGAAAGUUGUGCUUGUGACUGUGAGUGAUAGCAUGCAUGGGUAUGUGUGACCGUGUAAGUAUGUGUGUGUGAAUGUGUGCUUAAAUAUCACUGUCUGCGUGUGUAUGUGUGUGUUAACAGUCAACACCAGCGUGCUAUAGCCCCAGUCCUGUGACAGAACAGAACAGUCAACACCACCGUGCUAUAGCCCCAGUCCUGUGACAGAACAGAACAGUCAACACCAGCGUGCUAUAGCCCCAGCCCUGUGACAGAACAGAACAGUCAACACCACCGUGCUAUAGCCCCAGUCCUGUGACAGAAUAGAACAGUCAACACCACCGUGCUAUAGCCCCAGUCCUGUGACAGAACAGAACAGUCAACACCACCGUGCUAUAGCCCCAGUCCUGUGACAGAAUAGAACAGUCAACACCAGCGUGCUAUAGCCCCAGUCCUGUGACAGAACAGAACAGUCAACACCAGCGUGCUAUAGCCCCAGUCCUGUGACAGAACAGAACAGUCUGUUUGCCACAACAGUCUCUCUCUAUUCAGUUGCUCAAAUGGAAUCACUGAGGCUGAGGAUCAGAACAGACCGGCAGGCAGGUACAAACUGUCACUCUGCCUAGCCCAUUGUGUGUCACGUCUGCUCCUGCUCCCCGCUCCCCCUUUCUGGCGCUCGAGGUCGCCAGGCUGCUUAUCAUUAAGCACACCUGUCACCAUCGUUACACGCAUCAGAGCUUCAUCGGACUCACCUGGACUCCAUCGUGUUAUUAAUUACCUCCCCUAUGUCUGUCGCUUCCUCUGUUUCUUUCCACAGUCAGCAUUAAUGUUGUUAUGUGUUCCAUGUCCAGACGCUGUUUGUGUUUUGUUUCCUAUCUGUUUAUUCAUUAAAUAUUCACUCCCUGUACUUGCUUCUCGUCUCCCAGCGUCUGUCCUUA
rnacentral:lncRNA from 1 species